rnacentral:rRNA from 1 species
UACGAAGGGAGCUAGCGUUGUUCGGAAUCACUGGGCGUAAAGCGCACGUAGGCGGAUGUGUCAGUCAGGGGUGAAAUCCCGGAGCUCAACUUCGGAACUGCCUUUGAUACAGCACGUCUUGAGUCCGAUAGAGGUGGGUGGAAUUCCUAGUGUAGAGGUGAAAUUCGUAGAUAUUAGGAAGAACACCGGUGGCGAAGGCGGCUCUCUGGACCGAGACUGACGCUGAGGCGCGAAAGCGUGGGGAGCAAACAGG